rnacentral:rRNA from 1 species
UUCAUUGAGACUUCGGUGGAUUUGAUCUAUUUCUAGUGGCGGACGGGUGAGUAACGCGUGGGUAACCUGCCUUAUACAGGGGGAUAACAGUCAGAAAUGGCUGCUAAUACCGCAUAAGCGCACAGAGCUGCAUGGCUCAGUGUGAAAAACUCCGGUGGUAUAAGAUGGACCCGCGUUGGAUUAGCUUGUUGGUGGGGUAACGGCCCACCAAGGCGACGAUCCAUAGCCGGCCUGAGAGGGUGAACGGCCACAUUGGGACUGAGACACGGCCCAGACUCCUACGGGAGGCAGCAGUGGGGAAUAUUGCACAAUGGGGGAAACCCUGAUGCAGCGACGCCGCGUGAAGGAAGAAGUAUCUCGGUAUGUAAACUUCUAUCAGCAGGGAAGAUAGUGACGGUACCUGACUAAGAAGCCCCGGCUAACUACGUGCCAGCAGCCGCGGUAAUACGUAGGGGGCAAGCGUUAUCCGGAUUUACUGGGUGUAAAGGGAGCGUAGACGGUGUGGCAAGUCUGAUGUGAAAGGCAUGGGCUCAACCUGUGGACUGCAUUGGAAACUGUCAUACUUGAGUGCCGGAGGGGUAAGCGGAAUUCCUAGUGUAGCGGUGAAAUGCGUAGAUAUUAGGAGGACACCAGUGGCGAAGGCGGCUUACUGGACGGUAA